rnacentral:lncRNA from 1 species
CGAUGACUGUAAAGGAGCGAUGGCGCGGGUAACGCCGAGCCGCAAACCCGAUGAUAACUAAGGAGCGUUGGCGAGGGUAACGCCGAGCCGCCGAGGAGAGAAGAGAGUGAAAUCGUUUGGGUGAGGAGAGGGACGGCGCGAGGAGUAGAGAGAGAGGCGCGAGAGAGCGACGGGGAGAGCGAGAGCUAAAGCGAGAGAGAGAGAACGGCGGGGAGAGAGAGCGGUGGGUAGAGAGAGAAAGGGAGAGAGAGAUAGGGGAGAUAGAGAUGGCCUGAGGGAGAGAGAGAUAGAGGAGAGCAUCGGGUAGAGAGAGGGACGGUUAGAGAGAGAUAGGAGGAGACAGAGAUGGGUUGAGGGGAGGAGAGAGAGAGAGAGAGAGAGAGAGAGGAGGGAGUUUUACAGCUGUUUUAUUAAUUUUUUACUUUUAUUUUUUUUUCCAGCGUCAACUCUUGAACGCCUAGCACGUGGUUAGAGAGAGAUAGGGAGAGAUAGAGAUGGGUUGAGGGAGAGAGAGAGAGGAGAGGGGGUUCUACAGUUGUUUUUUUUUUUCUUCAUUUGUUUUUUUUGGUUCGCAGCCCCACCUCUUCAACGGCUGCCACGUGGAUUUGGCUUCCCUCCACUCUCCACGUGGCACCGUUGUACCGUCAAAUAGAAUAGUUAUGGAUUUCGUUGUUUUGAUAGGAAAAAAAAUUAAAAAACAAUUGAGAAAAUUUUGUGAGAUUCUAUAAGAUAUGAUAUGAUAGAAGAUCUAGAAAGAAAGAGAGUUGUGGGAGUGAGAGUUAGAAUUUCGAGGUAUAAUAAUUGACUAGGAGAGAGGUAUUUGAAAAGAUUAAAUUAUUAGGGAAAACUUCAAAAACCCCUCCUGUGGUUUCGUAGUUUCUCACUUUGCCCCCCUGUGGUUUAAAAUGUAUCAAAUUGCCCUUAUGUAGUUUUGUUUUUAUCUUUUGGGUAGCUUUUUCAUUAAUAUUUCAUUAAAUUAUAUACAAAAAACUUUAGAUACCCAUCUAGAUUUAUCAAAUAUUCACUUUAAUACUCUUUAAUUUUAACUUUAUCACUGAUUUAAGAAAAAAAAAAUAAUGAAAUUGAUAAGAAAAGGAGAAAAACGAAACCACAAGAGGGCAAAGUGAGAAACUACGAAACCACGGGGGGGGUUUUUGAAGUUUUUCCAAAUUAUUAUAAGAUCCUAUAAGAAAUGAUAGAGAGAGAGGGGAGGGGAGAUAGAGAGAGAGAAAAGGCGAGAGAGAGACAUAUCUGGAGGAGAAAGAGAGAAAAGGGAGAGAAAGCCCGCCAUGUGGAGAGAAUAAAGGAAAAAACACCACGUGGAUUAAAGACUAUCAAAUUAUGUAUUAAAUAAAUAUAGAAUAUAGAUAGAUGGUCUAUCAGAAGGGUAUGUUGUAUAUGGGUCACUGUUAUAA